UCAGAAAUUUCCUCCAAAACUCUGUGGUAGAAAUCGCCUAAGAAAGAAACGGAUAUAAGAAUUAUUUUGAUGUUAGAUUAACAGAACUGUGUAUUAAAAUGAACUAAAAUUAGCUGCAAUAUGAAGCUUAAAAUGAACUAAAAUCAGCUGUAACAUGAAGCUUAAAUGAACUAAAAUCAGCUGCUAUAUGAAGCUUAAAGUGAACUAAUUAAAUCAGCUGCAACAUGAAGCUUUUAAAAUAAACUAAAAUCAGCUGCAAUAUGAAGCUUAAAAUUAACUCUAAAAUAAACUAAAAUCAGCAUAUGAAGUUUGAAAUGAACUCAAAUCAGCUGUAAUAUGAAGCUUAAAAUGAACUCUAAAAUGAACUAAAAUCAACUGCAGUGCGACAAACCCAAUCAGCUGAGAAUACGAUUGUUGAAACGACAUUGCUGAGCUCUGCAAAUUUCCUUCAAAAUGAAGCUUAAUAUCAACUGCAAUUAGCCCAGAAUAAAAUUGUGUGGUAGAAAUCGCCUAAGAAAGAAACGGAGAAGAAGAAUUAUAAUAAGCAAACAGAGAUGAAACAAAUGAUAGAUCUCAGCUAGCUCUGUGCUGUACCUCUCGUGGCACAAGUCGACGGCGGCGGCGGCAGCUGGUUUUGAUUUUGAUACAAUUUCAGAAACAUUCAAGAAUUUUAGUAAAUGAUUUGAAAAGAUGUGUAUAAUGCUAAUGGUAAAAUGGAUGUAUUGAUGAUUUUGAAGGCAAAUUAACGUGUGGAAGAAUAGUUAAAGGAGCGAGAAACAAAGCAACGGAAGAUUAAUUAUGAAGAUUGAGCAAUCAAGCAGUUGAACAGUUGAUCAAACGUGUUACGAUUGGAUUCACUCCUUUAGUUGUAUUGAUAAGAUAAGAUUGCUAC
rnacentral:lncRNA from 1 species